UGGUGUUCUCGGUCAUCAUGCAAUCUCGUUAGCUCCGCUGCGUUCUGGGUUUCGAGCGUUAGGCUCCCUCCGGUAGCCGGUAAUUCCGCUCUGGUCAUGGCUUUCCGUUAGUUCAGAUUGUGUUUUAGCUAGUAGGACCUUCUAAAAUUGGCUCCUGAUCGUGGUCGUUGCGAGGUAAAGCUUUUGAUUGUGCGCCAUGUAAACGG
rnacentral:lncRNA from 1 species